AACGAACGCUGGCGGCAGGCUUAACACAUGCAAGUCGAACGCCCCGCAAGGGGAGUGGCAGACGGGUGAGUAACGCGUGGGAAUCUACCCAGAUCUUCGGAACAACUGAGGGAAACUUCAGCUAAUACCGGAUACGCCCUACGGGGGAAAGAUUUAUCGGUUCUGGAUGAGCCCGCGUUGGAUUAGCUAGUUGGUGGGGUAAUGGCCUACCAAGGCGACGAUCCAUAGCUGGUCUGAGAGGAUGAUCAGCCACACUGGGACUGAGACACGGCCCAGACUCCUACGGGAGGCAGCAGUGGGGAAUAUUGGACAAUGGGCGAAAGCCUGAUCCAGCCAUGCCGCGUGAGUGAUGAAGGCCUUAGGGUUGUAAAGCUCUUUCAGUGGGGAAGAUAAUGACGGUACCCACAGAAGAAGCCCCGGCUAACUUCGUGCCAGCCGCCGCCGUAACAC
rnacentral:rRNA from 1 species